rnacentral:rRNA from 1 species
CCUACGGGAGGCUGCAGUGGGGAAUAUUGGACAAUGGGCGAAAGCCUGAUCCAGCCAUGCCGCGUGUGUGAAGAAGGCCUUCGGGUUGUAAAGCACUUUCAGUGGGGAAGAAAGCCUUGGGGCUAAUACCCUCGAGGAAGGACAUCACCCACAGAAGAAGCCCCGGCUAACUCCGUGCCAGCAGCCGCGGUAAUACGGAGGGUGCGAGCGUUAAUCGGAAUUACUGGGCGUAAAGCGCGCGUAGGCGGUCUGAUAAGCCGGUUGUGAAAGCCCCGGGCUCAACCUGGGAACGGCAUCCGGAACUGUCAGGCUAGAGUGCAGGAGAGGAAGGUAGAAUUCCCGGUGUAGCGGUGAAAUGCGUAGAGAUCGGGAGGAAUACCAGUGGCGAAGGCGGCCUUCUGGACUGACACUGACGCUGAGGUGCGAAAGCGUGGGUAGCAAACAGGAUUAGAUACCCGUGUAGUC